CCUCAAUUUAAUAAGCUUUCCAAAUGAUUUAUCUACAGAAAUUCCCAUCGACUUUAAUAGCGAGGAAUGUUUAAAACGGUGAAAAUCAAGUCUUUGCUACUAUCUUCAUCUCACAUUACUUUUUGCCUACUAUGUAUAUAUUACAGUGGUUGGUAGCAUGUCUCAACUGCGGGGAAGCCCUGUCAGCCUAUCAGAUAAUAGAGGCUGUAAAUGCUGAUAACCAUUGGAAUUGUAGGGAGUGACUGACUGCUCUCUGAUUGGUCUGUCUCCCAG